GUCAAAUGAAUUUCGGCUUAUGGCGGAGACCUAGGCACCCAGAGACGAUGAAGGGCGCAGAAACCGGCGAAACGCUUCGGGGAGCUGGCAACAAGCUUUGAUCCGAAGAUCCCCGAAUAGGGCAACCUGUCCAACUCUCCUAAAAAAUUCAUAAUUAGGAGAGAGGCAACCCAGUGAAUUGAAACAUCUUAGUAGCUGGAGGAAAAGAAAGCAAACGCGAUUCCCGUAGUAGCGGCGAGCGAACCGGGAUUAGCCUAAACCCAGUAAUGGGGGUAGUGGGAAGACUAAUACAUUGAUCUGCAAUGUGUAAUAAAGAAAAAAAAAAACGAAGCAGCUGAAUCCUGCACCAUAGAUGGUGAAAGUCCAGUAGUUGUAAAACUUUUUUUUAUGAAAAGUCUUAUCCCGAGUAGCAUGGGGCACGUGGAAUCCCGUGUGAAUCAGCGAGGACCACCUCGUAAGGCUAAAUACUCCUGGGUGACCGAUAGCGAAAUAGUACCGUGAGGGAACGGUGAAAAGAACCCCCGUAGGGGAGUGAAAUAGAACAUGAAACCGUAAGCUGACAAGCAGUGGGAGGUAACCUGACCGCGUGCCUGUUGAAGAAUGAGCCGGCGACUUAGAGGAAGUGGCUUGGUUAAGGAGUCGAAUCCGGAGCCGAAUGCGAAAGCGAGUCUGAAUAGGGCGUUAUCGUGUCAUUUCCUCUGGACCCGAACCCGGGUGAUCUAAUCAUGACCAGGAUGAAGCUUGGGUAACACUAAGUGGAGGUCCGAACCGACCGAUGUUGAAAAAUCGGCGGAUGAGUUAUGAUUGGCGGAGAAAUUCCAAUCGAACUCGGAGCUAGCUGGAUCUCCCCGAAAUGCGUUGAGGCGCAGCGGUGACGAUGAGCUAUCUAGGGGUAAAGCGACUGUUUCGAUGCGGGCUGCGAAAGUGGUACCAAGUCGUGGCAAACUCAGAAUACUAGAUACUGCCUUCCGUCAACCAGUGAGACAAUGGGGGAUAAGCUUCAUUGUCAAGAGGGAAACAGCCCAGAUCACUAGCUAAGGCCCCUAAAUGGUAACUAAGUGGAAAAGGAUGUGAGAAUGCUGAAACAACCAGGAGGUUUGCUUAGAAGCAGCCACCCUUGAAAGAGUGCGUAAUAGCUCACUGGUAAAGCGUUCUUGCGCCGACAAUGGCCGGGACUAAGUUACCUGCCGAAGCUGUGAUAUUUCUCAAUAAAAAUCAAAAAGAGGAAUAGGUAGGGGAGCGUUCCGCUCUCGGGUGAAGUUCUAACGUAAGUGGGAAUGGACGAAGCGGAAGUGAGAAUGUCGGCUUGAGUAACGAAAACAUUGGUGAGAAUCCAAUGCCCCGAAAACCUAAGGGUUCCUCCACUAGGUUCGUCCGUGGGGGGUGAGUCAGGACCUAAGGCUAGUCCAAAAGGCGUCGUCGAUGGCAAACAGGUUAAUAUUCCUGUACUGAUUCUAUUGGGAACCAAGGGACGAAGAAGGCUAAACUGGAACUGCUUGUGGAUUUCAGUGGAAGCGUUUAGGUGUUGAGAGUUAGAAUAAAAACUAUACUCGAGCUAAGACGUGAUCCCUACUCUAUACUUUUAGUAUAGAGUAGCCAGUGAUGUCAUACUUCCAAGAAAAGCUUGAACACCAAUACAAUAGAAUCACCUGUACCUGAAACCGACACAGGUAGGUUGGUAGAGAAUACCAAGGGGCGCGAGAGAACUCUCUCUAAGGAACUCGGCAAACUGGCCCCGUAACUUCGGAAGAAGGGGCGCCCUUUAUCAAAGGAGGGUCGCAGUGACCAGGUUCUGGCGACUGUUUAUCAAAAACACAGGUCUCCGCAAAGUCGUAAGACAAUAUAUGGGGGCUGACGCCUGCCCAGUGCUGGAAGGUUAAGGAAGUUGGUUAUCUGUUUUACAGAAAAGCUGACGACCGAAGCCCCAGUGAACGGCGGCCGUAACUAUAACGGUCCUAAGGUAGCGAAAUUCAUUGUCGAGUAAGUUUCGACCUGCACGAAAGGCGUAACGAUCAGAACGCUGUCUCGGAGAGAGACUCGGUGAAAUAGACUUGUCCCGUGAAGAUGCGGACUACUUACACCUGGACAGAAAGACCCUAUGAAGCUUGACUGUAUCCUGGAAUUGGGUUCGGGCUUUUCUUGCGCAGCCUAGGUGGGAGGCUAUGAGGGUUCCCUUCCGGGGGGACCGGAGCCAUCAUUGAGAGACCACUCUGGAAGAGCUAGAAUCCUAAUGGUGAUCUUUAUAUCAAGACACUUGACAGUUUCAGGUGGGCAGUUUAUCUGGGGCGGAUGCCUCCUAAAAGGUAACGGAGGCGUGCAAAGGUUCUCUCAGUCUGGACGGAAAUCAGACAUUGAGUGCAAAGGCAAAAGGGAGCUUGACUGCAAGACCAACAAGUCGAGCAGGGGCGAAAGCCGGCCUUAGUGAUCCGACGGUGCCGAGUGGAAGGGCCGUCGCUCAACGGAUAAAAGUUACUCUAGGGAUAACAGGCUGAUCUUCCCCAAGAGUUCACAUCGACGGGAAGGUUUGGCACCUCGAUGUCGGCUCAUCACAUCCUGGAGCGGUAGUACGUUCCAAGGGUUGGGCUGUUCGCCCAUUAAAGUGGUACGUGAGCUGGGUUCAAAACGUCGUGAGACAGUUUGGUCCAUAUCCGGUGUAAGCGCAAGAGUAUUGAGAGGAGCAAACCAUAGUACGAGAGGACCCCCGGUUUGUUGAGCCACUUGUGUAUUGGUUAUCGCUCCAGCGGUAAACGCCAAGUAGCUAUGCUCAAAGGAAUAACUGCUGACAGCAUAUAAGUAGGAAGUCCACCUCAAGAUGAGUACUCUCCAUUAGGUCGCGGCAAGAUAAGCCGUUUAAUAGGCGUUAGGUCUACAGUCAGUAAUGGCUUCAGCCGAGACGUACUAAAGACCGAUUGAUUUUGAU
rnacentral:rRNA from 1 species